rnacentral:rRNA from 1 species
AUUGAACGCUGGCGGCAGGCUUAACACAUGCAAGUCGAGCGGAGAGAGGUAGCUUGCUACUGAUCUUAGCGGCGGACGGGUGAGUAAUGCUUAGGAAUCUGCCUAUUAGUGGGGGACAACAUUUCGAAAGGAAUGCUAAUACCGCAUACGUCCUACGGGAGAAAGCAGGGGAUCUUCGGACCUUGCGCUAAUAGAUGAGCCUAAGUCGGAUUAGCUAGUUGGUGGGGUAGAGGCCUACCAAGGCGACGAUCUGUAGCGGGUCUGAGAGGAUGAGCCGCCACACGGGGACUGAGACACGGCCCAGACUCCUACGGGAGGCAGCAGUGGGGAAGAUUGGACAAGGGGCGCAAGCCUGAUCCAGCCAUGCCGCGUGUGUGAAGAAGGCCUUAUGGUUGUAAAGCACUUUAAGCAAGGAGGAGGCUACCUGGAUUAAUACUCUAGGAUAGUGGACGUUACUCGCAGAAUAAGCACCGGCUAACUCUGUGCCAGCAGCCGCCGUAACAC